rnacentral:rRNA from 1 species
AUUGAACGCUGGCGGCAGGCCUAACACAUGCAAGUCGAGCGGAGCGGCGGACGGGUGAGUAAUGCCAAGGAAUCUGCCUGGUCGUGGGGGAUAACGUCCGGAACAGGGCGCUAAUACCGCAUACUAUCAGAUGAGCCUAGGUCGGAUUAGCUAGUGGGUGGGGUAAAGGCCUACCAAGGCGACGAUCCGUAACUGGUCGGAGAGGAUGAUCAGUAAAACGGGAACUGUGACACGGUCCAGACUCCUACGGGAGUCAGCAGUGGGGAAGAUGGGAAAAUGGGCGAAAGCCUGAUCCAGCCAGGCCGCGUGUGUGAAGAAGGUCUUCGGAUUGUAAAGCUCUUUAAGUUGGGAGGCGUUACCAACAGAAUAAGCACCGGCUAACUUCGUGCCAGCAGCCGCGGUAAUAC